GUUCCCGAGGGCUGAUGUCACACAGCCUGGGUUCUGCGGGGUCUGAGAGACCAGUCGGGGCCUGUCCACUCAGCAAGCUCUGGCCGGAGACGGUGCUUCAGAAAGUCAGGUGCGUGCGCGACGCUCGCGAUCAUGAUCGCUGUGGACUUGGAGGUUAUGAUCGCGGUCGGCGUCUGCUUGCUGGUCGUCGCGUGGGUGCUGAUGUGCUGCUUCGUCUGUCUCUGCUGCAAAGUGUCCAAAGCCCUGGAGUGAGCGCGGACGGAGAGAGGCGGAGGGGACCGCGUCACCGGCUGGGCCGCGCCCUGCUGACCACCUCCACUUGUAAGAAAUGGGCUUGAGAAAAAGAUCUAAUCUCCUGUUUAUUAGAAAACCUCCGAAGGGAAACAGGACAACGGCGUCGGCAUGAAAGGCAGGAGACAUGGUUUGGAGGAAGGCCACCCGGGGACUGGGCUGGCUCCCUACUGUGCGGCCCCCAGCGACGGAGCCUCAGGGCGGUCCGAUGGCCGUUGUCCGGAGAGGUGGCCUCCCCCGUGUCCCUGGGCCACAGCCCCGUCGUGUGAAAUACAGGCUGUUUACGCGGA